CCUACGGGGGGCAGCAGUGGGGAAUAUUGGGCAAUGGGCGCAAGCCUGACCCAGCAACGCCGCGUGAAGGAAGAAGGCUUUCGGGUUGUAAACUUCUUUUCUCAGGGACGAAGCAAGUGACGGUACCUGAGGAAUAAGCCACGGCUAACUACGUGCCAGCCGCCGCGGUACUACGUAGGUGGCACGCGUUAUACGCAUGGACUGGGUGUAAAGGGCGUGUAGGCGGGAAAGCAAGUCAGCUGUGAAAACCAUGGGCUCAACCUGUGGCCUGCAUUUGAAACUGUUUUUCUGGAGUGCUGGAGAGGCAGACGGAAUUCCUAGUGUAGCGGUGAAAUGCGUAGAUAUUAGGAGGAACACCAGUGGCGAAGGCGGUCUGCUGGACAGCAACUGACGCUGAGGCGCGAAAGCGUGGGGAGCGAACAGGAUUAGAUACCCUAGUAGUC
rnacentral:rRNA from 1 species